rnacentral:rRNA from 1 species
GGAGCAUGUGGUUUAAUUCGAUGCAACGCGAAGAACCUUACCUACUCUUGACAUCCAGAGAAUUUAGCAGAGAUGCUUUAGUGCCUUCGGGAACUCUGAGACAGGUGCUGCAUGGCUGUCGUCAGCUCGUGUUGUGAAAUGUUGGGUUAAGUCCCGCAACGAGCGCAACCCUUAUCCUUUGUUGCCAGCGAUUCGGUCGGGAACUCAAAGGAGACUGCCGGUGAUAAACCGGAGGAAGGUGGGGAUGACGUCAAGUCAUCAUGGCCCUUACGAGUAGGGCUACACACGUGCUACAAUGGCGUAUACAAAGAGAAGCGACCUCGCGAGAGCAAGCGGAACUCAUAAAGUACGUCGUAGUCCGGAUUGGAGUCUGCAACUCGACUCCAUGAAGUCGGAAUCGCUAGUAAUCGUAGAUCAGAAUGCUACGGUGAAUACGUUCCCGGGCCUUGUACACACCGCCCGUCACACCAUGGGAGUGGGUUGCAAAAGAAGUAGGUAGCUUAACCUUCGGGAGGGCGCUUACCACU